GCUAUGGUGGCCGAGUGGUCUAAGGCGGUAGAUUUAAGUUGAACCAAAACUCUACUGGGGUGACCCGCGCGCGUUCGAGUAAGCUUUACCGUGUAACUGCCCUUGUCAUGCA
rnacentral:tRNA from 1 species